rnacentral:rRNA from 1 species
CUAUGGGUUGUAAACUGCUUUUCCUGGGGAAGAACCGCCCGGAUUAUUUCGGGUCUGACGGUACCCGGGGAAUAAGCACCGGCUAACUCCGUGCCAGCAGCCGCGGUAAUACGGAGGGUGCAAGCGUUAUCCGGAUUUAUUGGGUUUAAAGGGUGCGUAGGCGGGCCGGCAAGUCAGUGGUGAAAUCCCGCAGCUCAACUGCGGAACUGCCAUUGAAACUACCAGCCUCGAGUACGGUUGAAGUGGGUGGAAUGUGUCAUGUAGCGGUGAAAUGCAUAGAUAUGACACAGAACGCCGAUAGCGGAGGCAGCUCACUAAACCGAGACUGACGCUGAGGCACGAAAGCGUGGGUAGCGAACAGGACUAGAUACCCUGGUAGUCCACGCCGUAAACGAUGAUAACUCGAUGUGUGCGAUAUACAGUACGCGUCCAAGCGAAAGUGAUAAGUUAUCCACCUGGGGAGUACGUCCGCAAGGAUGAAACUCAAAGGAAUUGACGGGGGCCCGCACAAGCGGAGGAGCAUGUGGUUUAAUUCGAUGAUACGCGAGGAACCUUACCUGGGCUUAAAUGCAGGAUGAUUCAUGCCGAAAGGCGUGUUCCUUCGGGCAUUUUGCAAGGUGCUGCAUGGUUGUCGUCAGCUCGUGCCGUGAGGUGUCGGGUUAAGUCCCAUAACGAGCGCAACCCUUACUCCCAGUUGCCAUCACUUCGGGUGGGGACUCUGGGGGAACUGCCUACGCAAGUAGCGAGGAAGGUGGGGAUGACGUCAAAUCAGCACGGCCCUUAUGUCCAGGGCUACACACGUGCUACAAUGGCCUGUACAGAGGGCAGCUACCCGGCGACGGGGUGCCAAUCUCAAAAACAGGUCUCAGUUCGGAUCGGAGCCUGCAACUCGGCUCCGUGAAGUUGGAUUCGCUAGUAAUCGCGUAUCAGCAACGACGCGGUGAUACGUUCCCGGGCCUUGUACACACCGCCCGUCAAGCCAUGGGAGUCGGGGGUACCUGAAGUCGAUAACCGCAAGGAGUCGCCUAG